rnacentral:lncRNA from 1 species
AUGUACACUUCAGAAGAUCCAAUGAUCCAGCAAAUGAACAUUUUAAGAGGCUACAUCAAGCAAGCAAGAGCUGCUCACAUGUACGACGAGGUAGCGAGUCUGGAGAAAAAACCUUCAAGAACUCAUGGAAGAAUACUACAAACAAGAAUAUCAGAAGGAAGAUACUUUCGUACAGGAAAAUCAACUAGAGCACGCCGAACAUUUUUCUUGAGCCUCUCUUGUCGCAAUGUCCUUUUUAGUUUUUACCAAAUGAGUUUUUGCUCCGAGUCCUGCAAAUCUACUUAUACGCUUAAAUGUCUUAGGUGAUGUUUGUUAGGUUUGUAUUAUUGCUAUAGGCUAUGCUAUGCUCAUCAUUUCAGCAUGUCCAUCUAUAUCUUCUAUCGUACCGCUCUUUGAGCAAGUCUUUUUUUUACUUUUGUUGCGAUAUCAUCUCCACUGGUGCCUUACAUCAAUACUGCUGUUCCACUGAAGAGAACAUAAUGUGUUAAAAUUGGAAUUUUGAGAAAAUGGUCUUGCGGAGCUGUGUCUAAAUGGGAAAUUUAUUAAAUACAAUUUCUUUUUCUUUGUUUAAAAAGAAAGAAUAGUCAGUAUUCAAUCAUACCGAAAGACUUUAAGAAACCACUUAGGUGAUUAAAAAUCAACAAUUUUUUUCUUUCACUAUGUAAGCACAGCAUUCAUUUUUUUCAUGUUGUGUAAGACAGCUAUAGAUAACAUCCUCUGUUUGCUUGCAGGGUUAUGUAGUAUAAUACCAAACGAAUAAUUGAAGGUUAAAAAUUGGCAGAAAGAGUGUCAAACUUAGAACACCAGCACAUAUGUAUUGAUCUCGUGUAGGGUAAUGUGGAUUUACCGCCGUUUUUACUAAUUCUUGACUAGUUUACUCUACUUUAAACUUCUUUGUGUAGCAAUAAUAUUGAUACAUAGGAAAAUGUAUGCUCCUGAAGAAUGGAGCCUUCAAGUUCAAGGUGAUUCCUGAAACUGAAAGUCUGAUCGAGGUAAGCAGACACACCAAAAUAACCUUCCUGCUCUGUCGCAUAGAUAUGUAUUGUGAAUGAAAAGUAGUGAUAUUUUGAAAAAUUUACUAGGUACCUAGUACCGAAAAUUCAGUCGAAGAAUUUGAUUUCACGACCAAAAAGCAUUAAAAGAGGUCAUCAUGGUAUUUUUUUCAUUUCAAGUUCUCAAUUUAUGUACAUAAUAUUUGUUUUUUUUGUACAUAAUAACAUUAUUUGAAAGAGUGCUUUAUUUAUCAAGCUUUCUUAUUGAAGCUAUAGACUGAAUAUGUGAAAUGCCCUGAAGAAUUUAUAAGCAGUAGGUGGUCUGAUUUGGCAAAGUCAUUCCUGUAUAUUCCUUGCUUCUCAUUAAUUGAAUUUUGUUUAUUUUAUACUCUUGUUGAUGUUCUUGUUAUCGAAAAAAAAAAAAAUUAAAUCAUCAAAAGUAUCUAUACUUGUUUAUUUUUGACAGCAAAUUUUUUUUUUUUAUCAGGGCUUGAUAAGAAGACUGGCUCAUUGCUUUCAUCAUAUUUUCUCUAGAACAAGUCCAGAAGAUUAAAAAUCCAUUGACUUUGAAGACUGCAUAUUGACUGGAAUCAACCUAACUACAGCCGAAUCUGUCAUCCGUCCGAAUAGAAAGUUUAAAAAAAGUUUGAGGAAAAUGAGAAGGAGAGUUAGAAUUGGAUUUUAUGCACAUGUAUACUGUUAUCACAAAUCAAACAAGUUUAAAAAAAUAAGAAAACAAUGAAAACAAAAUUAAAGUCUUUUGCAAACGUAAAAUCGAGAGCAUGAAAAAAUCACGCAAGAACGCAAGACAAUGGAAUUAAUGAAACAUUGGACGCUAAAACUAGCCAGGCUAUGACAAAAUAAAACAAAAAUAUUGGGUAAACUGCCAGAGCUUUCUUUCCGUCUGGCUGACUGUUGCCAAGACAAGAAACAAGAGCGAUGCUGAAACAUAACAAAACAAAAGGAAAGUGUUGAGAUGAUGAAAAUGUUCCGAUAAUGUUUGAUUUCAAGCUUAUGGUACAAAAUAUAUCUCACCAUCCAUGUACAUAUUACGGCAAACCUUGGACUGCAAGAAAAUUUCAAAAUCAUUAAAUAAUGAUUUUGAAUGCAACUUUACGAUUUAAAAUCGCUUUUCUGAAUAAGUUGUCUUAAUGCGCUAAGGUUCCUUCCCCCAUGAACAAUUAAAGAUGUAAAAAAACAUACAUACAACCCGCCAGCAAACAAAAUUUUUGAGAGGGGCCUCAAUAAUGAACAAUGAUAAAAGUAAACUGAAUAUCCUGGCUUAGCCUUGGAGUUUCACUUGAGAUACCCGCUAUUUACAGAAAAGAUUGAAGAAACCAUAUUAAAUUUUUUAAUUUAAUUUAAUUUUUUAAUUACUUACCAUACGUUGCCCAUACAAAUACUGACAUUGAUAUGCAUAAACUUGUGAAGAAAAGGAAUGUAGAGGGAGGGAGAAUAGGAAUACAAGGCAUCUACAGGCUAUGAGCGCAAUUGCUAGAGGCAAUAAACAGUAUCCUAGAAUGCAAACGCUCUGUAGAAAUGAUCUGAAAAAUAUAGAUAAAAAUUCUAUGAAUAAUAUAAAUCUAUCAAUGCUUUAGAUUUCAAUAACAAAACAAACAAAAAACUAGGUCCUGACUAAGCG